rnacentral:rRNA from 1 species
AUUGAACGCUGGCGGCAGGCCUAACACAUGCAAGUCGAGCGAGCGGCGGACGGGUGAGUACUGUAUGGGGACUGCCCGAUAGAGGGGGAUAACUACUGGAAACGGUGGCUAAUACCGCAUACUAUCGGAUAACCCAUAUGGGAUUAGCUAGUAGGUUGGGUAAAGGCUCACCUAGGCGACGAUCUCUAGCGGGUCUGCGAGGAGGAUCGGCCACACUCGGGGUGAGACACAGGCCAGACUCCUACGGAGGAAGCAGUGGGGAAUAUUGCACGAAGGGCACAAGCACGAUGAAGCCAUGCGGAGUGUAUGAAGAAGGCCGUCGGUUUGUAUAGUACUUUCAGCGAGGAGGCGUUACUCGCAGAAGAAGCACCGGGUGACGCCGUGCCAGCAGCCGCGGUAGUGC